rnacentral:rRNA from 1 species
GAUGAACGUUGGAGGCGUGCCUAAUACAUGCAAGUCGAGCGAACAGACGAGGAGCUUGCUCCUCUGACGUUAGCGGCGGACGGGUGAGUAACACGUGGAUAACCUACCUAUAAGACUGGGAUAACUUCGGGAAACCGGAGCUAAUACCGGAUAAUAUAUUGAACCGCAUGGUUCAAUAGUGAAAGACGGUUUUGCUGUCACUUAUAGAUGGAUCCGCGCCGCAUUAGCUAGUUGGUAAGGUAACGGCUUACCAAGGCAACGAUGCGUAGCCGACCUGAGAGGGUGAUCGGCCACACUGGAACUGAGACACGGUCCAGACUCCUACGGGAGGCAGCAGUAGGGAAUCUUCCGCAAUGGGCGAAAGCCUGACGGAGCAACGCCGCGUGAGUGAUGAAGGUCUUCGGAUCGUAAAACUCUGUUAUUAGGGAAGAACAAAUGUUUAAGUAACUAUGCACGUCUUGACGGUACCUAAUCAGAAAGCAACGGCUAACUACGUG